rnacentral:misc_RNA from 1 species
UUAAAAUACACUAUUUCAGCACCAACUUGUUCACUGGAUGAAUUCCGAUUACUAUUACCACUCCUAGUCAUACUUUCAGAACCUUGUUGCAUAGAAUCAGCGUAAUCGGCGUCGUCUGAGAGAUCGUGUAGGUCAAAUUCAAGCAUCGCCGGCGACGGCUAACUGGCUGGCUGGCUGCUGCUGUGGAUACGUUGAAGUAGACAGGUAGUAUUAGGUGAGUAAGGAAGAAGAUUCGAUAAACGGAGAAAAG